rnacentral:rRNA from 1 species
AACGAACGCUGGCGGCGGGCUUAACACAUGCAAGUCGAACGGAUCCUUCGGGAUUAUUCGCAGACGGGUGAGUAACGCGUCGGAACGUACACUUGGCUACGGAAUAACUCAGGGAAAGUUGAGCUAAUACCGAAUGGGCCCUACGAGGGCAAGAGUCAUCGAAAUAGGAUGGGCCCGCGUUGAAUUAGCUGGUUGGUUCGGUAAUGGCCUAUCACGGCGAGGCUGCAUAGCUGGGGUGAGAGGAUGGGCCGCCACACUCGGAGUGCGACACGGCCCAGAAUCCUACGCGAGGCAGGAGAGGGGAACAGUGCACAAUGGGGGCAAGGAUGAUCGAGCCAUGCUGGGUGAGUGAUGAAGGUCGUAGGAUUGUAAAGCUCGUUUAACGGUGAAGAUAAUGACGGUAGCCGGAGAAGAAGCCACGGCUAACUUCGUG